UACGAAGGGGGCGAGCGUUGUUCGGAAUUACUGGGCGUAAGGGCGCGCAGGCGGCUCAGACAGUCAGAUGGUGAAAGCCCCGGGCUUAACCUGGGAACUGCAUUUGAUACUACUGAGCUUGAGUACGGGAGAGGAUAGUGGAAUUCCCAGUGUAGAGGUGAAAUUCGUAGAUAUUGGGAAGAACACCGGUGGCGAAGGCGGCUAUCUGGACCGUAACUGACGCUGAGGCGCGAAAGCGUGGGGAGCAAACAGG
rnacentral:rRNA from 1 species